GCGAAGAGGCUUUCCAUGAGCACUCAGACCUACAAACAUCUGGCGUUUCUUGUUCCUCCACUCCGCGGAUGCGGAGCAUGUGACGCCUGGCUAUCAGAGCCUGAUAACCUCAGCGGUUGCGGGUGUGAACCCUGCAGCUGGAGUUGUAGGGGUUUUGUUGCGUCUGCCCUUUGAUCAGCAUGAAAGUGUCGAAAGAUGCUUCUAUCAUGACAGCUAAAGUCACCACUCAAAACAGUUCUGCUGCCCCCCGGCGAAGAAGAAGAUGCAAUGGAUGCUUCCUCUGUACAGCUACUCACGGAUCAGCAGAUAAUUAGCAGCAGUGAAAAAUCAACUUUGUCUCAUAUGUUUGUACUGAAUAAAAGAUGAAAGUCA